AUUGAACGCUGGCGGCAUGCCUUACACAUGCAAGUCGAACGGUAACAGGUCUUCGGAUGCUGACGAGUGGCGAACGGGUGGGUAAUACAUCGGAACGUGCCUAGUAGUGGGGGAUAACUACUCGAAAGAGUGGCUAAUACCGCAUGAGAUCUACGGAUGAAAGCAGGGGAUCGCAAGACCUUGUGCUACUAGAGCGGCCGAUGGCAGAUUAGGCAGUUGGUGGGAUAAAAGCUUACCAAGCCGACGAUCUGUAGCUGGUCUGAGAGGACGAUCAGCCACACUGGGACGGAGACACGGCCCAGACUCCUACGGGAGGCAGCAGUGGGGAAUUUUGGACAAUGGGCGCAAGCCUGAUCCAGCAAUGCCGCGUGCAGGAUGAAGGCCUUCGGGUUGUAAACUGCUUUUGUACGGAACGAAAAGCCCUGGGUUAAUACCCUGGGGUCAUGACGGUACCGUAAGAAUAAGCACCGGCUAACUACGUGCCAGCCGCCGCCGUAAAAC
rnacentral:rRNA from 1 species